CGCGCCGGCCGCCGCGGUACGGGCGGCGGCUCUGACCGGCCGCGGUGCGACGGGCCCGCCCGGCCCGGUGCCGGGCCGGCGCGG
rnacentral:tRNA from 1 species